GUCCGUUUGAUGGUAUAAAUGGUCUAGCCUGCUCACUGAUAGUUUCAUUUAAGAGCCGCGGUAUCUUGACCGUGCAAAGGUAGCAUAAUCAUUAGGGGUUUAAUUGGAACCUGGUAUGAAGGGUUGGACAAAGAAGGAGCUGUCUUUACAAUACAAGUUGAAAUUUACUUUUAAGUGAAAAGGCUUAAAUGCGUCGAAGGGACGAUAAGACCCUAUGAAGCUUUAUAAAUUGGUUGAAUUUAGUGGAUUUAGUCGGUAAAGAUUAAGUUUAAUUAUUUUAUUUUGUUGGGGCGAUAUGAGUAUAAAUUUUAUUAACUGCUUAAAGGAGAUACAAUUAUAGGUGAGUAAAUUGGCGUGUAUGAUCCUUUUUAGAGAUUAAAAGACUAAGUUACUUUAGGGAUAACAGCGUUAUUUCUUUUGAGAGUUCCUAUCGAAAAAGGAGAUUGCGACCUCGAUGUUGAAUUAAAAUAUCUAUAUAAUGCAGCCGUUAUAAAAGAGGGUCUGUUCGACCUUUAAAUUUUU
rnacentral:rRNA from 1 species